UGCCUGAUGGAGGGGGAUAACUACUGGAAACGGUAGCUAAUACCGCAUAACGUCGCAAGACCAAAGAGGGGGACCUUCGGGCCUCUUGCCAUCGGAUGUGCCCAGAUGGGAUUAGCUAGUAGGUGGGGUAACGGCUCACCUAGGCGACGAUCCCUAGCUGGUCUGAGAGGAUGACCAGCCACACUGGAACUGAGACACGGUCCAGACUCCUACGGGAGGCAGCAGUGGGGAAUAUUGCACAAUGGGCGCAAGCCUGAUGCAGCCAUGCCGCGUGUAUGAAGAAGGCCUUCGGGUUGUAAAGUACUUUCAGCGGGGAGGAAGGUGUUGAGGUUAAUAACCUCAGCAAUUGACGUUACCCGCAGAAGAAGCACCGGCUAACUCCGUGCCAGCAGCCGCGGUAAUACGGAGGGUGCAAGCGUUAAUCGGAAUUACUGGGCGUAAAGCGCACGCAGGCGGUCUGUCAAGUCGGAUGUGAAAUCCCCGGGCUCAACCUGGGAACUGCAUUCGAAACUGGCAGGCUAGAGUCUUGUAGAGGGGGGUAGAAUUCCAGGUGUAGCGGUGAAAUGCGUAGAGAUCUGGAGGAAUACCGGUGGCGAAGGCGGCCCCCUGGACAAAGACUGACGCUCAGGU
rnacentral:rRNA from 1 species